rnacentral:rRNA from 1 species
UACGUAGGGGGCAAGCGUUAUCCGGAUUUACUGGGUGUAAAGGGAGCGCAGACGGAACUGCAAGUCUGAUGUGAAAGCCCGGGGCUCAACCGCGGGACUGCAUUGGAAACUGUAGAUCUGGAGUGCCGGAGGGGCAAGCGGAAUUCCUGGUGUAGCGGUGAAAUGCGUAGAUAUCAGGAGGAACACCGGCGGCGAAGGCGGCUUGCUGGACGGCAACUGACGUUGAGGCUCGAAAGCGUGGGGAGAAACAGGAUUAGAUACCCUGGUAGU